rnacentral:rRNA from 1 species
GAUGAACGCUAGCGGCAGGCCUAAUACAUGCAAGUCGGACGGGAUUGUGGAGCUUGCUUCACAUGAGAGUGGCGCACGGGUGCGUAACACGUAUGUAACCUACCUUGUUCAGGGGGAUAGCCUCUCGAAAGAGAGAUUAAGACCGCAUAAAAUCACAUGCUGGCAUCAGUAAAUGAUCAAAUAUUUAUAGGAACAAGAUGGGCAUGCGGAACAUUAGCUAGUUGGUGAGGUAACGGCCCACAAAGGCUACGAUGUUUAGGGGAUCUGAGAGGAUGGCCCCCCACACUAGUACUGAGACACGGACCAGACUCCUACGGGAGGCAGCAGUAAGGAAUAUUGGUCAAUGGACGGAAGUCUGAACCAGCCAUGCCGCGUGCAGGAAGACGGCCCUAUGGGUUGUAAACUGCUUUUGCAGGGGAAUAAACCUCAUUACGUGUAAUGAGCUGAAUGUACUCUGAGAAUAAGGAUCGGCUAACUCCGUGCCAGCCGCCGCGGUAA